rnacentral:rRNA from 1 species
UACGUAGGUGGCAAGCGUUGUUCGGAAUUACUGGGCGUAAAGCGCGUGUAGGCGGCUCUUCAAGUCAGGCGUGAAAGCCCCGGGCUUAACUCGGGAACUGCGCUUGAUACUGUCGAGCUAGAGUGUGGAAGGGGCGAUUGGAAUUCCGUGUGUAGCGGUGAAAUGCGUAGAUAUACGGAGGAACACCAGAGGCGAAGGCGGAUCGCUGGGCCAACACUGACGCUGAGGAGCGAAAGCGUGGGGAGCAAAAGGG